GGGGUUGUGGCUCAGUGGUAGAGCACAUGCCUUGCAUGCAUGAGGCACUGGGUUCGAUCCUUAGCACCA
rnacentral:tRNA from 1 species